AUGCUACGACAUGUACAGGCAGAUCUUGGACAUGAGGGCGUUGUUUCAUGCAUUAGCCUAAGUGUCAUAAUUAUCUGUUUUGUCCGAAAUAUUUCUUUUAAGAACCGAUUAACCUGUUUGCUUUUUUUAUUGUCUAUUUGCUUCUGUAUGUAA
rnacentral:rRNA from 1 species